rnacentral:rRNA from 1 species
UACAGAGGGGGCAAGCGUUAUUCGGAAUUAUUGGGCGUAAAGCGCGUGUAGGCGGCUUUGCAAGUCGGGUGUGAAAGCCCUCAGCUCAACUGAGGAAGUGCGCCCGAAACUGCAGAGCUUGAGUGCCGGAGAGGGUGGCGGAAUUCCCCAAGUAGAGGUGAAAUUCGUAGAUAUGGGGAGGAACACCGGUGGCGAAGGCGGCCACCUGGACGGUAACUGACGCUGAGACGCGAAAGCGUGGGAGCGAACAGG